AUAUGGGCCAGCCUUGGGUGUUUAACUGCAGGUAGACAUACCCUUAUAUAUCCCCAUAUCCUACUGCAUGCUUUGAUCAAAUGAAUGGUUUCUUGCAGUCCAGGAAUCUCCAAGUGCAGAGUGAAAACAAAUUCAUUAAUUUCCAACACCCAGAAAUUUAAUUAUUACAGUACAAGGUGUGAAGUCUAAGAUUUCUGGCUGCAGGUUUUAGACUGUGUACCUUGUAUGCAGUUUUUCUUCUAUGUUAGCUGUAGUAAACUGAACUAUGAGACAGUGACCAGAAUCAGACUUCUACUCUACUUAAGUUGUGGCAGAUAAAGAGAAGGUAAACUGCCAAAUACUAGAAAACUUUAUAUCUGAACUUGCUAAAUGCAUCAAGUUAAUGCAAAGAUCUCUCAUCACAAUGGAGGGUAUUUUAUAUGUGCAAACAAAAGCCUCAAGCUGGUGAGCAUAGUUGCAAGAGUAGCAGAACAGACUGCUAUCAACAAGUUUUCAAGAAGCAUAAAUGUAAACACAGCCACGUUUACUGUGCCCCUGUGUAUCGCCUCCACCACAGCCAAAAGUUGAUGGAUCUGCUCACUUGGGUGGCAAUUAAGCAAACAAAUUCAGAACUUUGUGCUAAGUAUGUCAUCUUGAUAAAUGGCACCAAUGGUGUUUCACCCUAUUUCUACAGCAAAUCCACCAGGAUUAGCUUCAAACAUCACCUACAAAUAAAGUCACACAGGAACGUCUUCAGACAUAAAAAAUGCCAGCUCAGAACAAAUUCUAAAGCCCAUUUGAGUCCACUGACUACAUGGGAACAGAGCCUGUUUUAAAGAGUGCUGCGUAUUUAAAAGAUUAUCUGGAAAAUGUGUGUAUCGAUAUUUUCCCCACAGAUUUUGGUCAUUUUUCCCCUCAGUACCUGAAUCUCAGUGAGAUUUAUUUGUACAGCUCCAAGCAUAUGUAAUAGGAGUCUUGUUAAUGCAGCGGUCAGCUUUAUGCUCAGAGUAGGUCUGAGAUAAUGCUUUGGCUGGCAACAGCCAGUAGCCAAUCUAUACUCAGGCUCCCAAUACUACUGACCAGCCCAAUGGUGGAGGUGAAUGGGUGUCAGCAACAGUGCUGAAACCCAGCCCUCAAGACCUUUCUUUAAGCCUUACAGAUGUUCAGUGCUACCCCUGCGAGGCCUGCAAACUUGCCUACCUAGCCAAACUGCCUUCACCCAACAGAGCAUUCGGGAAGAAAUCCUGGAUAGGAAUGGGGAGAAUGGGAGACUGUUGAAGAGAGAAUUUCCAGGGUUCCACCAACUCCAACCUAGCAACAUAGAUUUUACCUGCAUAUUUUUAGUGGGUUCUAUUGAUGAGUCACUCUGAUCAGAAAGAAAUCAAUGAGGGUGCAGCACCAAACACCAGUGUUUGUGCCAUGGCUGAGAAGCAGCCAUAUCCAGGUCCCGUGGCGAAGAUCCUAAGGGUAAACCUGCGUUGCAGCUGGGAGCAUGCCUCCCAGCAUGGGUCAGAGAGACACUAGCUCUUCGAGGUAGCGUACCACAGAUCACAGUGAUUGUGGCAGCAGUGGCUCAGGCUAGCCACCCAAAUACAAACCCACCCCAUCCUCUGGGUACGUACUAGGGUGGCCGUUCCAAGUCACUACCACACCGCUAUUUUUAACUAGGGUGACCAAUCAGAAUGGGAUGGGGGUGGGAGGAUAAAUAGGCUGACUAUGUAAGGCAAAGUCCCUAAUAUCAGCAUAUCUGGUCACCCUAUUUUUAACAUGAUAAUUGAAGAGGAGCUGUGUCUGCUUACCCACAUGGGGAAGCACACUCCCAGCUGCUGUGUACCUAAGCGUGAGCAGAGUAUUGGAGCAGGGUGGAGAUAAAUUAUUACUACUUACACACUAAUUACUGCUU